rnacentral:rRNA from 1 species
AUUGAACGCUGGCGGCAGGCCUAACACAUGCAAGUCGAACGAGUGGCGGACGGGUGAGUAAUGUCUGGGAAACUGCCUGAUGGAGGGGGAUAACUACUGGAAACGGUAGCUAAUACCGCCAUCCAUCCGAUGUGCCCAGAUGGGAUGAGCUUGUUGGUGGGGGAACGGCUAACCAGGGCGACGAUCCCUAGCUGGUCUGAGAGGAUGACCAGCCACACUGGAACUGAGCCACGGCCCAGACUCCUACGGGAGGCAGCAGUGGGGAAUAUUGCACAAUGGGCGCAAGCCUGAUGCAGCCAGGCCGCGUGUAUGAAGAAGGCCUUCGGGUUGUAAAGUUCUUUCAGCGGGGAGGCGUUACCCGCAGAAGAAGCACCGGCUAAAUCAGUGCCAGCCGCCGCGGUAAUUC